rnacentral:rRNA from 1 species
AGUGAACGCUGGCGGUAGGCCUAACACAUGCAAGUCGAACGGCAGCACAGUAAGAGCUUGCUCUUACGGGUGGCGCGUGGCGGACGGGUGAGGAAUACAUCGGAAUCUACUUUUUCGUGGGGGAUAACGUAGGGAAACUUACGCUAAUACCGCAUACGACCUACGGGUGAAAGCAGGGGAUCUUCGGACCUUGCGCGAUUGAAUGGGCCGAUGUCGGAUUAGCUAGUUGGCGGGGUAAAGGCCCACCAAGGCGACGAUCCGUAGCUGGUCUGAGAGGAUGAUCAGCCACACUGGAACUGAGACACGGUCCAGACUCCUACGGGAGGCAGCAGUGGGGAAUAUUGGACAAUGGGCGCAAGCCUGAUCCAGCCAUACCGCGUGGGUGAAGAAGGCCCUCGGGUUGUAAAGCCCUUUUGUUGGGAAAGAAAAGCAGCAGGUUAAUACCCCGCUGUUCUGACGGUACCCAAAGAAUAAGCACCGGCUAACUUCGUG